AGUGAACGCUGGCGGUAGGCCUAACACAUGCAAGUCGAACGGCAGCACAGUAAGAGCUUGCUCUUACGGGUGGCGAGUGGCGGACGGGUGAGGAAUACAUCGGAAUCUACUUUUUCGUGGGGGAUAACGUAGGGAAACUUACGCUAAUACCGCAUACGACCUACGGGUGAAAGCAGGGGAUCUUCGGACUUUGCGCGAUUGAUUGAGCUGAUGUCGGAUUAGCUAGUUGGCGGGGUAAAGGCCCACCAAGGCGACGAUCCGUAGCUGGUCUGAGAGGAUGAUCAGCCACACUGGAACUGAGACACGGUCCAGACUCCUACGGGAGGCAGCAGUGGGGAAUAUUGGACAAUGGGCGCAAGCCUGAUCCAGCCAUACCGCGUGGGUGAAGAAGGCCUUCGGGUUGUAAAGCCCUUUUGUUGGGAAAGAAAAGCAGCAGGUUAAUACCCCGCUGUUCUGACGGUACCCAAAGAAUAAGCACCGGCUAACUUCGUG
rnacentral:rRNA from 1 species